rnacentral:rRNA from 1 species
UGGGGAAUAUUGGACAAUGGGCGAAAGCCUGAUCCAGCCAUGCCGCGUGUGUGAAGAAGGUCUUCGGAUUGUAAAGCACUGUAAGUUGGGAGGAAGGGCAGUAAGCGAAUACCUUGCUGUUUUGACGUUACCGACAGAAUAAGCACCGGCUAACUCUGUGCCAGCAGCCGCGGUAAUACAGAGGGUGCAAGCGUUAAUCGGAAUUACUGGGCGUAAAGCGCGCGUAGGUGGUUCGUUAAGUUGAAUGUGAAAGCCCCGGGCUCAACCUGGGAACUGCAUCCAAAGCUGGCGAGCUAGAGUAGGGCAGAGGGUGGUGGAAGUUCCUGUGUAGCGGUGAAAUGCGUAGAUAUAGGAAGGAACACCAGUGGCGAAGGCGACCACCUGGGCUCAUACUGACACUGAGGUGCGAAAGCGUGGGGAGCAAACAGG